GGAGAGGUGCCGGAGUGGCCGAUCGGGCCGGUUUCGAAAACCGGUGUGCGGGCAACCGUACCGGGGGUUCGAAUCCCCCCCUCUCCG
rnacentral:tRNA from 1 species